GGAGGACAUCCAUGGAGAAGAAGGAGUGAGAGGUAAAGCUGAAAAUGAGACUGCAACACAGAAUUUCAAGAAGGUCUUCCCUUCUUGAAAGAAAAUAAUAUCACUCCUUCACUUCACAGGCUUUGAAGUUGUGAUCACCUUAUUCAUGUGAGGCUGUGGCUAUUAAGUCACACAACAUUACUAUGUUCCCUCCCCACACACAUAUAAAGCCUGGUUUUAAAAGCAAUGCAUGUUGAUUUUAACAAACAAAUAAAAUGCAGAAAAACAUAAAGAAGAGAAUAAAAAGUAUUCAUCAUAUACUCUCUAAAGAAAACUUGUAUUAAUAUUUUUGUGUAUAUAAUACCAGAUUUCAUGAAUUAUAUAUAUAUUAUAUAUGUUAGCACAUAUAAUAUCUUUUAAAACAAAGUUAGAAUUAUGUAUAAAUACAUUUUAUACUCUCUUUUCUAGUUAAGUAGUGUAGAUAUCUUUCUUUGUCAAUAAGUAUGUACAACAUCAUUUAUAGUGGUUGCUUCAUACUCUCUUACCAUAUUCCACGAACUAUGGUAAAUUUAACCAUUUUAGGAAGGAUAUUUAAUUUGUUUCAAUUUUUAAAACUUGUAUAUCAGGUGCUCUGUGUUUUUGGUUCAACAUGUGAGAAGCUUGGAAGUCACCACUUUGCCCUAACACGAAGUAAAAAGCUGAUCAAAGUGAAAAUUCAGCCCUUCUUCGAUCCUUAAGAGAAGUGAGGUUACAGGGCAAACCACUGUCCCCAAAAUCAAAGACACUGAUAGGUGAAUACAGAGAAUGACAAUUUACCAGAGCAGGAACCCAAGAGCAGAAACCCCUUUGGGAACCAAUGCCAAGGCAGGGAAACCUGAACUGUAAUUGAAAAAUUGCUUGAGGCUCAGUGUGAACAAGACUAAGUGCUAAAAACUCCAAGGAGACCCAAUCAUCAGGAGAGGGGGCACGCUUUCAUGAGCUUUGUCUCUUAGAGUUCCACAAAGUCCUCACAGUGAAUAUCAGAGAAAAAUCCUCUUGUGCUUUUGGUAGUGGGAGGGGAAAAGGAACCAUUUGAGAUAUAUCGAAUAUUCUUUUCUUCUUCUCAAGUUUUGCAGUCAGGAAAAAUAUUUAACCAGUGCCUAACCUGCUGGGGUUUUAUGAGAGCUUAACUGACCUAGGGGAAAGAGAUUCCCAACUCCAGCCCCUUCUAUCCUUCCAUGUGGGAGAAAGGGAAUACUCAACACCAGCACACUCUAGCCAUCCCAUCUCACGUAAAGAGAGGGCAAAACAUUGAGAAGCACUUACAGAGUUCAUAGUACAAAGGCACAGUUCCACUAAAAGACAAGACCUAAUUACAGGACUGUAGUAAGCUUCCCCUCCGCCCACAACUUACCACCACAUUACUAAAGGCCUAUUGCAGCAGUUCUUUCAUUUCUAAUUUUCUUUGAGUUUUUCUCUUUUUUAGUUAUUCUAGCCAAAGAUUUGCCAAUUUCGUCUUUUUUUAAAAAAAAAAAAAGUAACCUCAGUUUUGUUGAUUUUCUUUUACUGUUUUUCUCUUCUCUAUUGGGUUAAUAUUUGCUUUAAUCUUUGCUAUGUCCUUCCAUUUCUAUCUUUGUACUUGGUUUAUUCUUUUUCUGGUUUCUUAAGAUAUAAAGCUCUGAUGAUUAUUUGAGAUUUUUUUUUCUUUUAAUGCAGACAUUUACCCCUAUAAACUUCUCUCUUAGCACUGUUUUUGCUGUAUUCCAUAGGUAUUGAUGUGUUUUUACUUUCAUUUGUCUCAAUAUUUUCUAAUUAUCCUUUUGAUUUAUUCUUUGACCCAUUGGUUGUUUAGGAGUAUCUUGUUAACUUAAACAUAUUUGUGAAUUUUCAAAUUUAUUUUGCUAUUGAUUUUUAGUUUCAUUUUAUUAAAAAGAUAAUUGGUAUUAUGUCAGUAUUCUUAUAUUUAAGUCCUGCUUUGUGGCCUAACGUGUGGUCUAUAAAUGUGUGUUUGAGAAAAAUGUAUGUUCUGCUGCUGUUGGGUAGAAAUUCUGCACAUUAAAUGGAUAUUUUGUCUUCUGUUUCCCUCUCCAGAGAGAAGCCUGGAGCUGGGAUUUGUCUCCAGUCAUGCUGCGUUGAGCUGUAGGUAGAGGCUAGGAUCCAUCAAAUGUUUGAAAAAUAUUAGAAUUGGAGCCAACACACAAAUGUAAAAGAAUAACCAAUUCUUCAAAGUAAAGCUGUACUUUCUGCUUUACAAGUUAGCUCUACAGUGGAUAUAAUUAUCAUCUGAAGUGAAGCCUGGAAGUCCUGUGGCCUACUUCAGAGUUAGGAUUAAAUCAGAUUACACAGACCCCAGAGUGGUUUUCUUCCCCUGUAUUAAGGCCACUGGUCUGACUUGCUGGUAGAGCAGUUGAAAUAUUAUACUGUUGCUCCUUUGGGAUCUGAAGACCUGUAUUAGAUUCUUCCCCAUGAGUGAAGUCUACAGGCUUCCCAAGUUAUUUAACCGCUUUGUGGCUUUCUGUAACUCUCCUUAGUAUUCUCUCUUCUCUUAUCGUUUCCUCAUUUGUAAUACAUAAAUAAAAAUGAUCUAAG
rnacentral:lncRNA from 10 species